rnacentral:rRNA from 1 species
UACGAAGGGGGCUAGCGUUGCUCGGAAUCACUGGGCGUAAAGCGCACGUAGGCGGAUUCCUAAGUCGGGGGUGAAAUCCUGGAGCUCAACUCCAGAUCUGCCUUCGAUACUGGGAAUCUUGAGUCCGGAAGAGGUGAGUGGAACUGCGAGUGUAGAGGUGAAAUUCGUAGAUAUUCGCAAGAACACCAGUGGCGAAGGCGGCUCACUGGUCCGGUACUGACGCUGAGGUGCGAAAGCGUGGGGAGCAAACAGG